GGAGGGCUAUACUGCGAGUCGACGCGCAGCGAGAGGUGCUUGCACCUUUCAAGCGAGUGGCGAACGGGUGAGUAACACGUGGAUAACCUGCCUCAAGGCUGGGGAUAACAUUUGGAAACAGAUGCUAAUACCGAAUAAAACUUAGUAUCGCAUGAUAUCAAGUUAAAAGGCGCUACGGCGUCACCUAGAGAUGGAUCCGCGGUGCAUUAGUUAGUUGGUGGGGUAAAGGCUUACCAAGACGAUGAUGCAUAGCCGAGUUGAGAGACUGAUCGGCCACAUUGGGACUGAGACACGGCCCAAACUCCUACGGGAGGCUGCAGUAGGGAAUCUUCCACAAUGGGCGCAAGCCUGAUGGAGCAACGCCGCGUGUGUGAUGAAGGCUUUCGGGUCGUAAAGCACUGUUGUAUGGGAAGAAAUGCUAAAAUAGGGAAUGAUUUUAGUUUGACGGUACCAUMCCAGAAAGGGACGGCUAAAUACGUGCCAGCAGCCGCGGUAAUACGUAUGUCCCGAGCGUUAUCCGGAUUUAUUGGGCGUAAAGCGAGCGCAGACGGUUGAUUAAGUCUGAUGUGAAAGCCCGGAGCUCAACUCCGGAAUGGCAUUGGAAACUGGUUAACUUGAGUGUUGUAGAGGUAAGUGGAACUCCAUGUGUAGCGGUGGAAUGCGUAGAUAUAUGGAAGAACACCAGUGGCGAAGGCGGCUUACUGGACAACAACUGACGUUGAGGCUCGAAAGUGUGGGUAGCAAACAGGAUUAGAUACCCUGGUAGUCCACACCGUAAACGAUGAAUACUAGGUGUUAGGAGGUUUCCGCCUCUUAGUGCCGAAGCUAACGCAUUAAGUAUUCCGCCUGGGGAGUACGACCGCAAGGUUGAAACUCAAAGGAAUUGACGGGGACCCGCACAAGCGGUGGAGCAUGUGGUUUAAUUCGAAGCAACGCGAAGAACCUUACCAGGUCUUGACAUCCUUUGAAGCUUUUAGAGAUAGAAGUGUUCUCUUCGGAGACAAAGUGACAGGUGGUGCAUGGUCGUCGUCAGCUCGUGUCGUGAGAUGUUGGGUUAAGUCCCGCAACGAGCGCAACCCUUAUUGUUAGUUGCCAGCAUUCAGUUGGGCACUCUAGCGAGACUGCCGGUGACAAACCGGAGGAAGGCGGGGACGACGUCAGAUCAUCAUGCCCCUUAUGACCUGGGCUACACACGUGCUACAAUGGCGUAUACAACGAGUUGCCAACCUGCGAAGGUGAGCUAAUCUCUUAAAGUACGUCUCAGUUCGGACUGCAGUCUGCAACUCGACUGCACGAAGUCGGAAUCGCUAGUAAUCGCGGAUCAGCACGCCGCGGUGAAUACGUUCCCGGGUCUUGUACACACCGCCCGUCACACCAUGGGAGUUUGUAAUGCCCAAAGCCGGUGGCCUAACCUUCGGGAGGAGCCGUCUAAAGGA
rnacentral:rRNA from 1 species